AACGGCCAUACCAUGCUGAAUAUACCGGUUCUCGUUAGAUCACUGUGAAGUGUGUGUGUGAAGCAUCAUUGAGCGCGGUCAGUACUUGGGUGGCUGACCACCUGGGAACACCGCGUGCC